UACGUAGGGUGCAAGCGUUGUCCGGAAUUAUUGGGCGUAAAGAGCUCGUAGGCGGUUUGUUGCGUCGGCUGUGAAAUCCCGAGGCUCAACCUCGGGUCUGCAGUCGAUACGAGCAAACUAGAGUGUUGCAGGGGAGACUGGAAUUCCUGGUGUGGCGGUGAAAUGCGCAGAUAUCAGGAGGAACACCGGUGGCGAAGGCGGGUCUCUGAGCAACAACUGACGCUGAGGAGCGAAAGCGUGGGGAGCGAACAGG
rnacentral:rRNA from 1 species